CCUACGGGAGGCAGCAGUAGGGAAUCUUCCGCAAUGGACGAAAGUCUGACGGAGCAACGCCGCGUGAGUGAAGAAGGUUUUCGGAUCGUAAAACUCUGUUGUCAGAGAAGAACAAGUCGGAGAGUAACUGCUCCGGCCUUGACGGUAUCUGACCAGAAAGCCACGGCUAACUACGUGCCAGCAGCCGCGGUAAUACGUAGGUGGCAAGCGUUGUCCGGAUUUAUUGGGCGUAAAGCGAGCGCAGGCGGUUCCUUAAGUCUGAUGUGAAAGCCCACGGCUCAACCGUGGAAGGUCAUUGGAAACUGGGGAACUUGAGUGCAGAAGAGGAGAGUGGAAUUCCAUGUGUAGCGGUGAAAUGCGUAGAUAUAUGGAGGAACACCAGUGGCGAAGGCGACUCUCUGGUCUGUAACUGACGCUGAGGCUCGAAAGCGUGGGGAGCAAACAGGAUUAGAUACCCUGGUAGUCCACGCCGUAAACGAUGAGUGCUAAGUGUUGGAGGGUUUCCACCCUUCAGUGCUGCAGCUAACGCAUUAAGCACUCCGCCUGGGGAGUACGGCCGCAAGGCUGAAACUCAAAUGAAUUGACGG
rnacentral:rRNA from 1 species